GUUAACAGUUACAUAUAAUGAUUGCUGAAACAAAAUGAUGCUACACAGAAAAUAACAGCAAUUCUCCACCACAAACUUAGACACAACACAAGGCUGGGGUCCUUAGCAGUCGGUUAGCAUGCAGUGUUUCACCAUCACCACCAGAGGGACCCUGCUGAGUUUAUUGUUCUCCCUGCUGUGCUAUUCUGCUCCCACUUUUCACAUCCAGUCUAGCACUGCAAACCAGCACCUGAGCUCCUCUUCACCUCUGCACUGCAGCCAUGGACGCCACAGAAACAGUGUUUCCAGACCAAAGCGACUUUGAAUAUGUUCCGGCUCGUCUGGUACUCAAAUCCCAAAGACAGAAGUACCUCCUCCAACUGUAUAGGCAUUACAGCACAAAGCUUGAAAAAAACAGAAGCCCAUGCUAGCAAAUAGAUACAAGUAGAUCGGCUGUGUUGGUGGCCACUCCUCUCAUGGAUAACAUACCUCUGCUGGGUGAUCGAUAAACAGGGUUUUCUUAUACAACCUGACCUCAUCCCAUAUUAUUUGGCAA